UUUAACUGAAGAGUUUGAUCAUGGCUCAGAUUGAACGCUGGCGGCAGGCUUAACACAUGCAAGUCGAGCGGGGGAAGGUAGCUUGCUACUGGACCUAGCGGCGGACGGGUGAGUAAUGCUUAGGAAUCUGCCUAUUAGUGGGGGACAACAUCUCGAAAGGGAUGCUAAUACCGCAUACGUCCUACGGGAGAAAGCAGGGGAUCUUCGGACCUUGCGCUAAUAGAUGAGCCUAAGUCGGAUUAGCUAGUUGGUGGGGUAAAGGCCUACCAAGGCGACGAUCUGUAGCGGGUCUGAGAGGAUGAUCCGCCACACUGGGACUGAGACACGGCCCAGACUC
rnacentral:rRNA from 1 species